rnacentral:rRNA from 1 species
UACGGGGGGGGGCAAGCGUUGUUCGGAAUUACUGGGCGUAAAGGGCGCGUAGGCGGUUCGAUAAGUCAGCUGUGAAAACCAUGGGCUUAACUCAUGGCCUGCAGUUGAGACUGUCGGGCUGGAGUGUGGGAGAGGAGAGUGGAAUUCCUGGUGUAGCGGUGAAAUGCGCAGAUAUCAGGAGGAACACCGGUGGCGAAGGCGGGGUCUCUGGGCCGAUACUGACGCUGGAGGCGCGGAAAGCCUAGGGGAGCGAAUGGG